rnacentral:lncRNA from 1 species
UGCUGGUAGCUUCCUUGUCUCUUCCUCCACUUUUCUGCUGAUAUUUUGAAGCAUUGUCUUCUUAUAAUAACAUUUAUUAUUUUAGAACAGAAUUUUUUAAAGCAGAGCUGGGGCCUAUUUAAGAAGAGUUUGUUACAGGUUUUGAGCACAAGGGUUCAAAUCAGAUUUUAUAGGAAAAAAAUAAGACAUAGAGCAUGGGUUUGGACAUCUUAGAUGGGUCAACCUGAUUUUAUUUAAAUAAUUUCUUAGAUUUCAGGCUGGUUUUGCAACACCAUUUUGAGAUAUUGUAUGUGGUAAAGUACUUACCUUGCUGUCUUUCUAAGAACAAUUAAAAGAUAAUUUGUAAUGUGGGAGAUCCCAGGGAACAGAAUUCUCUAUUCUUUUCAAGUGGAAAGGGGGAAGAUUGCCAGCACUAUAAAUGAAACUACCAGAUAAUUUUCCCAUUAAUCAUUCACAAGUAUCUAUAUUUCAGAGUUUAUAUGGCAAUUAAGAGAUAACCUUCCUACUGGUCCUUUCCACUACAAAGUCCAUGAUCAUGACCUCUUUUUGUAUUUAUUUAAAUGUCAAAAUAAGAUUUUGCUUUAAUUCAUACCUCUUUUGUACAUGACUAAAUCUGAUGCUACCUUGUCUUUCAAUGGGAAAGGCCUUUGAGAUCCCAUUCCUAAGGAUGCCUUCUGGUGACUCUCUUCACCAGCUCCAUCACAGGGAUCAGGCCACGGUAAUGAGUUAACACUGAAGGACAAAGUAGAAAGAGUAGAUAUUUUGGAGAGACUAGCCUCCGCUACCGUCACUGUUCUCAUUCAUCAAUGCCAGUCGGUAAAGAAGAAAGCAGUAACUCUUGAUGACCAUCUCUGUUUAUUAGUGUGAGGAAUUAUGCUAAGUGUCUGCUCUAGGAAGAAAAAAAAAUUCUGGACUCUCAUUGAAAUUGUGAAUAACAGGGAGUUGGGUUGCUGUAUAAAACAUGAUUUAGGAAAAACAAAAUAGAUUCAGCUGCUAAACCUAUUCCUCAUCAUUUUUUGUUGUUUUUUCUGAAAUACUGCUUUUGACUGUGUAAGUAAAUGGACUGUGGUCAUUUAACCCUGAAACUGAUCUUUUCCUGUGUCUUAACCUGGUUGCCUUUCAUCCUUCUGUGCUGUGAUCUGCACCCCUUGCUCUAUGACACGCCCUUGCUCCAUUUCCUUCCAGAACUGUUUUAAAUCCCUGCCAGGCUCCACCAGUGCCUUAGGCUAUGCAAUCAGAAUUGAAAAUUAGUCGCUCUCGGACAAAUCAGACACAUUUUAUAUGCAAAUCAUUUCUUACUGGUUACCUUUAGAGGACUUGAAUGCAGUGUUUGACAUAGUGAUUUAUCAGUGUCCAUAGCAUCUCAUAAAUAUAAGAGUUCUUCGGACAUAGCAGGAUAUAGUAGGAGGGGUCGGGGGAAAUUAUGAUUGCUCUUUGUUUGGCUUUGUUUCCCCCUAAGUCUAAUUUAAUAUUACUGGCUUAUAAAUAUUCUCAUUUGUAACAUUAUGAAGUUCUGUGAUUUAUACGGACACUCCUGUUACCCAGGUUUUCCUCAUUAUCACUAUGUAUUUACAAUGACCUUGGACUCUUAUCCUUUGGAGUCUCAUUUUUAAGCACCAAGAUUUCAGGUGUGGCCCUGAUUCAUGAUUUUUUUUUUUAAUUUUUUAUUUUUUUGGUUUUUCAAAGCAGGGUUUCUCUGUAUAGCUCUGGCUGUCCUGGAACUCACUCUGUAGACCAGGCAGGUCUUGAACUCAGAAAUCCGCCUGCCUCUGCCUCCCGAGUGCAGGCACACUGGUGGUAAUCAACCAUUGAAUUACACCCUUGCCCCGUUUCUUAGAAAUAUUUGUUCUCACCUCACAUUUUACCUUUUGUCAUAUUGUAUACACUUUAACAUACUUUUACUUCUGAUUUAAAAUAUUUCAGGGCUGCAUAAAUGACUAGUGGAUAAAAGCAGAAUUGCCUCUGCAGAGAUCCCAUGUUAAGUUGAGAGCACCCACAUGAUGACACUUAACUGCAAGUCCAUUUUUAGUAGAUAAAAUGCCUUUUCGCACCCCCAGAUAAGUAUGUGCUAUACACAAAGAAUACAUGCAUAUGAAAUAAAAUCCAUAAAUUAUUUAAAAUAUAACUAAUAUGUUUAUAUGUCAUCAUUUUAUGAAGAUAUUUUAUGCUGCAAGCUUUGUAUAAAAGAAGAGAGAGAGAGACAGAGAAAGAGAGAGAGGUAAAACAGGCCUGGGAGUUGACUGUCAGCAUGCAAAACACAUUCAAGGUAGUAGCUAUUACAAUUUGAUUUAAUAUUUAAGCAUAAGAAAACUAGCAUUAUUAUGGGAGCAAAAUGACAGCAUCCUGUAAAGUAUCUUUAUUAUUUAUUUCCCUUGUGGUUACAAAAUCUUGACAAUAAUACACUAGAUACUUAGGAAACUGUUUAAUAUAGGGCUAUGGGGGCCUCAUUAGCAGGUUUUUUUACAUCAAUGAGUUUGUGUCUUGUGUCAAUUAAUAUUUCUCUAAAAAAUAGCAGGAAUAUCUCUUUCUAUUUAGUUUCCUCUAGUGAAUGUAGGACCCCAGUGACUCUGAGAAUAAUUGAAAUCAGCAUUCAUAAUAUCCAUAUGUGCACUGUUUUAGCAAAUUUUUGCUUCUCUACGGGGUAAAGAAACUUUACUUUGUUGAGAAAUCUGAUCAAUGGGAGAUGACUCAGGGGAGAAAGGUCUGGCUGCUCUAUUAUGAAGAAAGGAGCUCAGUUUCCCAGAACUACAUCAAGUACGUUGUUGUAAUAUGUGACUUUAGUCCCAGUGUUCCUAUAAUGAGGGGGAGUCAGCAGCAGGAGAAUCUCCAGAUUAUAGCAAGCCAACCAGCCGGAUGUGGACCAUACUGAAAUAGAGAACCUGUCUCAGGCAAAGUAGAAAGAGAGCACCUGUAACUAAACGGGUUCUCUGACUUCCAUGUGUGCACAUGGCUGCCCACAUUUACGUGUGUGUGUGUGUGUAGGUUCAUAGUUAACUCUGGAUUCAACACCUUAUCUAUUAAGGCUAAGCCUCUCAACCAAACCCAGAGCUCACCAAUAUCCCUAGAGUUGCUAACCAGGCUGCUCAGGGAAUUCCUGGUACCUAUCACCCAGAUGCUAGAAUUGAAAAUGCGCUGCCAGUUCCAUAAGGCAUUGUUGGCAUUGGGGGUUGAUGAUAUGAUCGCUCUCCACAGAAAGUCAUUUAGCAAUUGAGCCAUAACUCUGAGCCAGAAGAUUUAAAAGUAAUUUAAUUUAAAACUGC